rnacentral:rRNA from 1 species
GAUGAACGCUGGCGGCGUGCUUAACACAUGCAAGUCGAACGGGAAACUUUUCAUUGAAGCUUCGGCAGAUUUGGUCUGUUUCUAGUGGCGGACGGGUGAGUAACGCGUGGGUAACCUGCCUUAUACAGGGGGAUAACAACCAGAAAUGGUUGCUAAUACCGCAUAAGCGCACAGGACCGCAUGGUCCGGUGUGAAAAACUCCGGUGGUAUAAGAUGGACCCGCGUUGGAUUAGCUAGUUGGCAGGGUAACGGCCUACCAAGGCGACGAUCCAUAGCCGGCCUGAGAGGGUGAACGGCCACAUUGGGACUGAGACACGGCCCAGACUCCUACGGGAGGCAGCAGUGGGGAAUAUUGCACAAUGGGGGAAACCCUGAUGCAGCGACGCCGCGUGAAGGAAGAAGUAUCUCGGUAUGUAAACUUCUAUCAGCAGGGAAGAUAGUGACGGUACCUGACUAAGAAGCCCCGGCUAACUACGUG